ACGGGAGGCAGCAGUGGGGAAUAUUGCACAAUGGGGGAAACCCUGAUGCAGCAACGCCGCGUGAAGGAAGACGGUUUUCGGAUUGUAAACUUCUGUUCUUAGUGAAGAAUAAUGACGGUAGCUAAGGAGCAAGCCACGGCUAACUACGUGCCAGCAGCCGCGGUAAUACGUAGGUGGCAAGCGUUGUCCGGAAUUACUGGGUGUAAAGGGAGCGUAGGCGGGAUGCCAAGUCAGCUGUGAAAACUAUGGGCUUAACCUGUAGACUGCAGUUGAAACUGGUAUUCUUGAGUGAAGUAGAGGUUGGCGGAAUUCCGAGUGUAGCGGUGAAAUGCGUAGAUAUUCGGAGGAACACCGGUGGCGAAGGCGGCCAACUGGGCUUUAACUGACGCUGAGGCUCGAAAGUGUGGGGAGCAAACAGGAUUAGAUACCCUGGUAGUCCACACUGUAAACGAUGAUAACUAGGUGUGGGGGGUCUGACCCCUUCCGUGCC
rnacentral:rRNA from 1 species